UACGUAGGGUCCGAGCGUUGUCCGGAAUUAUUGGGCGUAAAGGGCUCGUAGGCGGUUUGUCGCGUCGGGAGUGAAAACUCAGGGCUCAACCCUGAGCGUGCUUCCGAUACGGGCAGACUAGAGGUAUGCAGGGGAGAACGGAAUUCCUGGUGUAGCGGUGGAAUGCGCAGAUAUCAGGAGGAACACCGGUGGCGAAGGCGGUUCUCUGGGCAUGACCUGACGCUGAGGAGCGAAAGCGUGGGGAGCGAACAGG
rnacentral:rRNA from 1 species